rnacentral:rRNA from 1 species
GAUGAACGCUGGCGGCGUGCUUAACACAUGCAAGUCGAACGAAGCAUUUAGGAACGAAUCUUCGGAAGAGUUUCUAUCUGACUUAGUGGCGGACGGGUGAGUAACGCGUGGGUAACCUGCCUCACACAGGGGGAUAACAGUUAGAAAUGACUGCUAAAACCGCAUAACAUGGCGAGACCGCAUGACCUUGCCAUCAAAUAUUUAUAGGUGUGAGAUGGGCCCGCGUCUGAUUAGCUGGUUGGUGGGGUAAUGGCCCACCAAGGCGACGAUCAGUAGCCGGCUUGAGAGAGUGAACGGCCACAUUGGGACUGAGACACGGCCCAAAACUCCUACGGGAGGCAGCAGUGGGGAUAUUGGACAAUGGGGGAAACCCUGAUCAGCGACGCCGCGUGAGUGAAGAAGUAUUCGGUAUGUAAAGCUCUAUCAGCAGGGAAGUAAAANAGUACG